UUUCUCUGGCAUUCAUCACAGCAAACGAACAUGAAGAGCAUCUGUCUAGAGACAGGUUUCAGAGGAUGUUGACAGGUGUUUUCUUCCUCAGCUUAUGAUGUCUUAAGAUCCAAUUACCUGGAAUGAAAGGAUGCCAUUACAUGCCUACUUUUGAGGCAGCAGAAUACUGCUCCAGUUAGCAAUGUGUGAUUGUAGUCUGGAUCAUUAAAAGGUAGGUUUUUUUCCCUCACCCCUCCACCCCCUUCAUGUUUUGAUGUAAAAGUUCACAUAUAGAGUG
rnacentral:lncRNA from 1 species